UCGAAGAAUUUGAAUUAGGUUCGUGAAUUGAAAAAAAGAGUUAAAAAAAAGUUGUAUUUGUCUUCAUUUGUAUUCAGCAUAUUGUAUUGGAAAAGUAAAAAAAUAGAAUUACGAAAAUUCAAAAAAAAUACGAAGUUAUAAAAAAAGUGAAGUGUUGAAAAAAAAAUCCAAGUUUAUUAAUCUUUUGAAUUUCGAACAAGUGAGUUCUUCUUCUUCUUAUCUACUUCCCCAAUGCCACACUUAGCCUUGAUUUUAUUUCGUUUCAGCCUACCCUACACCAUUUCAUAAGUCCCUUUGUUACCCAUUUUUCAAACCGAC
rnacentral:lncRNA from 1 species